GGGCUUUGCCACUGACUGUUAGAAAUAUCCUCUGUGACUAUAAGCACAUUAUACAAAUUCUUUGGAUGAGUUUCCAUCAGUGAUCCAUCAUACACAACGAGAAUCUCUGGGCUGGAUACUUAGAUACCUUCCACUCUUCAUUCUGGAAAUCUAAAAGGUUUUCUUUUCAAUACCUCAUAUGCUGCCGACCCCAUAACUGAUGUUUUCAAAGGAAGUGAGAGUGAGGAUACUGGCCCAAGAAGCAGAAAUAAAAAAGUGCAGCUAAUCAAGCAAACAAGAGGAGAGGACGAAAAAGGAAACUGGAAAACAAGGAUCUAAAGAACAGAACAGUGAGCUUCAAAGGCUCCCAGGCUGAGUAUUUAGAGAUUGCAUUACAACAAGGAAGAGGCCCCUUUGAGGACCAGAACCUCACACAUACUAGCUAAAAGCAUGCUGUGCCUUCCCCUGGAGCAUCCUACACUGAACACUGCUGGAGAAAAAGAACUGCCAUGCUGAAGCAGACCUGGAAAUGGAUCAACUCCUGUGACUUGUCUCAAGGGAUAAUAUGGCCAAAGGCAGCAGUUAGCAAGAAGGCCUGAAAAAUUUAUGCACUGGAUAAAGAAUAGGAUAAGAGCAGAUGGGUCUUGAAUUAUAAUGAAGUUGGGAUAAGGCU